AGCAGCCGCGGUAAUUCCAGCUCCAAUAGCGUAUAUUAAAGUUGUUGCAGUUAAAAAGCUCGUAGUUGAAUUUCGGGAUCAAGGAAUCGGUCAUGCCUCGGUAUGUACUGGUUUUAUUGGUUCUCACCUUCUAAAGAACCAUGAUGUCAUUCAUUUGAUGUUAUGGGGAAUUAGGACUGUUACCUUGAAAAAUUAGAGUGUUUAAAGCAGGCUUACGCUUGAAUACAUUAGCAUGGAAUAAUGAAAUAGGACAUCAGAUUCUAUUUUGUUGGUUUCUAGGAUCGAUGUAAUGAUUAAUAGGGAUAGUUGGGGGCAUUAGUAUUCAAUUGUCAGAGGUGAAAUUCUUGGAUUUAUUGAAGACUAACUACUGCGAAAGCAUUUGCCAAGGAUGUUUUCAUUAAUCAAGAACGAAAGUUAGGGGAUCGAAGACGAUCAGAUACCGUCGUAGUCUUAAACCAUAA
rnacentral:misc_RNA from 1 species